GGAUUCCCUAGUAACGGCGAGUGAAGCGGGAAGAGCUCGAAUUUUAAAUCUGGCGGUCUCCGGCCGUCCGAGUUGUAAAUUAUAGAAGCGUUAUCUGUGCCGGAACUGCCAUAAGUUGUCUUGAAUGAUAUAUCAGAGAGGGUGAGAAUCCCGUGCUUUUGCGGGAUCACCGGGGCUAUAUGUUGCGCUCUCAACGAGGCGAGUUGUUUGUGAUUGCAGCUCCAAAUGGGAGGUAAAUUCCUUUAAAGCUAA
rnacentral:rRNA from 1 species